ACAGUUACCCCCAAACUGACCUUUCAUAAUUUACAACUUUGAUGACCAUAACGAUUGCCCAUGCAUGUGUCCGUCAAAUGUUUGUGGGCAAUUAUAUCAUACUCAAAUUACUAUAAAUUUGAUAUAUUUUAUACACGCUAAAGUUUAUAAAGCCGAGUUGAAACUUUUCUUACGCAGAGUUGGAAGAUUCCUGGAUUAGUUGAAAAAAAAAAUGGCGGACUAUAGAAUGAUGCUUCUGAUGGCCACGUUAUUGGGAAUAGUACAUCAACUCUCGCACGUGCAUGCGUCGGUCAUCGAAGACAAGGCUCUAUUGGAAUGCGAAAGCGAGUGUUCCAGUAAGGUACUCCUGCCAUGCACGCAGGCGUUCUAUUGCACCAAGAUACUCAAGAAUGAUAAGAUCAGAUGUGGAUUGUACUGUUCUCAGUGGGUGGACGAGUGCAUGGAAACCUGCGGGUCCAGGAAAGUCGCAUCGUAAACAAGCUACACUCUCAAAGAAUUUCUGCAGAAUCCAUCAUGUGGAAAUGCCAAAAAAACAAAUAUUGGAAUUCUGUUUGAAAACUGAUUUUUGAAAAUUCUGUAAUAAUUGAUUAAAGUCUGUACAACUACAAAUA